UUUUGUUUACACUCUUUUUACGCAGACAUAUUCAAAUCGAGUACACCGAAAAUCCCGAUAACACAGAUCUGUGUAAAAAAAUUACACAGUUUGUUGAACAUGUUCUAGCUGUCAAAACUGUGUAGAUUUAUAACACAGAUCUGUGUAAAAAAUUACACAGAUUUCCGUUCAGCUUCCCUUUCAAACCUGGGUAAAAAAUGUAAAAAAGCUAAGAUGGCGUCUUUCAUGCAGAACUUUGAUUUUUAACAUGCUGAUCAUCAAUUGGACCGUACACCCACAGGGAGCAGUUUGAUUCAUGAGUUUGUUUCGUGUCCCACAUAUAUUCUCACGGAAAGGAUAGGCUUGGUCGGAACCUCGAUCCAGAAUCCAGAGUUGAACACCAGCAGAGCAUCAGCCCGCGCUUACAAUUUCCCGGUUCCGGUUCCGGAUCUUCCAGAGACAGCACGAGUUAACACUGCGUCGCGUCCAAGUUUUCCAGCUUUUUCGAUAUUUAUUGAAUAUUGUUUUAUGUAUGAAGCUCAAUUUAUGGAUUAAUAAAUCUUGCAUUUUUUAAUUUUUAUUGGCCUGGACAUUUUAAAUCAACAACUGAAUUAAAAAUAUAUUGCAAUUUUUUACCCAGAUUCUGUGUAAUAUAUUACCCAGAUCUGUGUAAAAUUUUACACAGAUUGCAGUUUCAAAAUUACACAGAUUUGACAGACAACGAUUGUACACAGAUCUGUGUACAAGGCUUCGACACAGAUUCUGUGUAUUCCAGGUUUUGGGCGAUCUGUGUCAAAUUUUACACAGAUCUGUGUUAUUUGGAUU